rnacentral:rRNA from 1 species
GAUGAACGCUAGCGGCAGGCUUAACACAUGCAAGCCGAGCGGUAUUGUUUCUUCGGAAAUGAGAGAGCGGUGUACGGGUGCGUAACACGUGUGCAACCUGCCUUUAUCUGGGGGAUAGCCUUUCGAAAGGAAGAUUAAUACUCCAUAAUAUAUUGAACGGCAUCGUUUAAUAUUGAAAGCUCCGGCGGAUAGAGAUGGGCACGCGCAAGAUUAGCUAGUUGGUGAGGUAACGGCUCACCAAGGCGAUGAUCUUUAGGGGGCCUGAGAGGGUGAUCCCCCACACAGGUACUGAGACACGGACCAGACUCCUACGGGAGGCAGCAGUGAGGAAUAUUGGUCAAUGGGUGCAAGCCUGAACCAGCCAUCCCGCGUGAAGGACGACUGCCCUAUGGGUUGUAAACUUCUUUUGUAUAGGGAUAAACCUACCCUCGUGAGGGUAGCUGAAGGUACUAUACGAAUAAGCACCGGCUAACUCCGUGCCAGCCGCCGCAGUAA